rnacentral:rRNA from 1 species
GACGAACGCUGGCGGCGUGCCUAAUACAUGCAAGUCGAGCGAGCAGAGCCAGCAGAUUUACUUCGGUAAUGACGCUGGGGACGCGAGCGGCGGAUGGGUGAGUAACACGUGGGGAACCUGCCCCAUAGUCUGGGAUACCACUUGGAAACAGGUGCUAAUACCGGAUAAGAAAGCAGAUCGCAUGAUCAGCUUAUAAAAGGCGGCGUAAGCUGUCGCUAUGGGAUGGCCCCGCGGUGCAUUAGCUAGUUGGUAAGGUAACGGCUUACCAAGGCAAUGAUGCAUAGCCGAGUUGAGAGACUGAUCGGCCACAUUGGGACUGAGACACGGCCCAAACUCCUACGGGAGGCAGCAGUAGGGAAUCUUCCACAAUGGACGCAAGUCUGAUGGAGCAACGCCGCGUGAGUGAAGAAGGCUUUCGGGUCGUAAAACUCUGUUGUUGGAGAAGAAUGGUCGGCAGAGUAACUGUUGUCGGCGUGACGGUAUCCAACCAGAAAGCCACGGCUAACUACGUGCCAGCAGCCGCGGUAAUACGUAGGGUGCAAGCGUUAUCCGGAAUUAUUGGGCGUAAAGAGGGAGCAGGCGGCAGCAAGGGUCUGUGGUGAAAGACUGAAGCUUAACUGCAGUAACGCUUUGGAAACUGUUUAACUUGAGUGCAAGAGGGGAAAGUGGAAUUCCUAGUGUAGCGGUGAAAUGCGUAGAGAUUAGGAAGAACACCAGUGGCGAAGGCGACUUUCUGGACUGUAACUGACGCUGAGGCUCGAAAGCGUGGGGAGCAAACAGGAUUAGAUACCCUGGUAGUCCACGCCGUAAACGAUGAGUGCUAAGUGUUGGAGGGUUUCCGCCCUUCAGUGCCGCAGCUAACGCGUUAAGCAUCCCGCCUGGGGAGUACGGCCGCAAGGCUAAAACUCAAAGAAAUUGACGGGGGCCCGCACAAGCGGCGGAGCAUGUGGUUUAAUUCGAUGCAACGCGAAGAACCUUACCAGGUCUUGACAUCCCGAUGCCAUUUCUAGAGAUAGGAAGUUACUUCGGUACAUCGGUGACAGGUGGUGCAUGGUUGUCGUCAGCUCGUGCCGUGAGAUGUUGGGUUAAGUCCCGCAACGAGCGCAACCCCUAUUGUUAGUUGCCAUCAUUAAGUUGGGCACUCUAACGAGACUGCCGGUGAUAAACCGGAGGAAGGUGGGGAUGACGUCAAAUCAUCAUGCCCCUUAUGACCUGGGCUACACACGUGCUACAAUGGAUGGUACAACGAGUCGCGAGACAGUGAUGUUUAGCUAAUCUCUUAAAACCAUUCUCAGUUCGGAUUGUAGGCUGCAACUCGCCUACAUGAAGUCGGAAUCGCUAGUAAUCGCGGAUCAGCACGCCGCGGUGAAUACGUUCCCGGGCCUUGUACACACCGCCCGUCACACCACGGGAGUUGGGAGUACCCGAAGUAGGUUGCCUAACCGCAAGGAGGGCGCUUCCUAAGGUAAGACCGAUGACUGGGGUGAAG